AGCAGAUGGUGGCAGGAAGGGAAACUGAGUCCCCAAAGCAAAACCCUACUGCAUUCUCCUCUAGGCAGCUCCCCCUCUGUGGGAAAGGAGGCAGGAGAAUCCCCUCAAUAUGGGAUCAACCUAACCAAGAUCUAGCAACUGUCUUCAUCAGGCUCAGACAUCCAUCACUCUGAAAAAAAGUCACCAAAGAUGUCGGAGCAAUGUGUGCAUCACUCAGGAGGGCCCACCAAACUGCACCGACAGCUGACACACCAAGUCUGCUGUCCAAACCUGGGGACUGCAAGGGACUUGCAGGGGUGUUAAAAGGGCCAGCUUAUAUAGGAAAGAACACUCUUUCAGUGUCUUGGCUACGAAACUAAUUAUCUAUAAUUGUCCUCUGUGAGCUGGCUUCUUCCCCAUGAAUGGGCCUCCUUUGUAACUCGUGUUGGGUUCAGAAAGCCUUGAAAAUUCUUUUAUGUCCAGUUGCCUCUCAUCAGAGCAGUGGCUGGGCGGUACGUCCCUCUUCUCUGUGAAUGAGCCCGGAUAGCAGUUAGCACAGGGGUGCCAUCCUGCCUUUGUACCUUUAACAAUCCGAUUAACUGUG